GAUGAACGCUGGCGGCGUGCCUAAUACAUGCAAGUCGAGCGAACAGACGAGAAGCUUGCUCUUCUGACGUUAGCGGCGGGCGGGCGGGUAACACGUGCAUAACCUACCUCUUAUUCUGGGAUGACUUCGUGAAACAGGAGACACUAAUACAUCAUAUAUUGAACCACUUGGAUCAAUAGUUAAAGAGGGCUUUGCUGUUUGUAUUAGCCGGUUUCGCGUCGGAUUAGCUAGUUGGUAAGGUAACGGCAUACCAAGGCAACGAUCCGUAGCCGACCUGAGAGGAUGAUCGGCCACACUGGAACUGAGACACGGUCCAGACUCCUACGGGAGGCAGCAGUAGGGAAUCUUGGACAAUGGGCGAAAGCCUGACGGAGCAACGCCGCGUGAGUGAUGAAGGUCUUCGGGUCGUAAAACUCUGUUAUUAGAGAAGAACAAAAGUGUAAGUAACUAUGCACGUCUUGACGGUACCUAAUGAGAAAGCCACGGCUAACUACGUG
rnacentral:rRNA from 1 species